rnacentral:ncRNA from 1 species
UAUAUUUGCAUCGCAAAAAUUGCAUACAUAAAAAUCAUUUAAAACAAUAUUGGCAUG